CACACAUUCACAGGUGCUUCCUGUUUUUUCAAACACCUUGCCCACCUUCUGCACACCAAGCGUGGAUUCUGCAAAAUGUAAGCCCAACAGGAAGCUGCCUGCAAUUUCAGGUAGCUUUUCUGACUCUUGAAAAGAUCUUGAGUAUACUUUCAGAGAAAUGCCAGCAAAAACUGUAGUCAUUUGGGAAGGAACAAUUCUGGAAGAAAGAGAUACAGCGAACUAGCACAAAGAGGUUUGAAAGGUUCGUGACAGCUCACAGCUCAUGAUGGUGGCAAUCUUGAGGAUACAGAAAACUCAUUCCUCAUGCAGGGAAGAAGAAAAUAUUCUAAAGAAGUGAUAAGCAUAUUCCAUGAAAUCAAGAAAGGAGAUGGCCCAUUACCCAUUACAAGGAUAUCAUUUCCUGCCUACUCGACUUGCUCAAAAAUCUCUGGAGGAGGUGGGGAGGGAUAGCCUGGGGAGAAAUGCCAAAUGUGGGUGAAGGGGAGAAGAAAAGCAAAGCACACUGCCAUGUGUGUACCUACGCAACUGUCUUGCAUGCUCUGCUCAUGUACCCCAAAACCUAAAAUCCAAUAAAAAAUUAAAAAAAAAAAAAAAAGGCCGGGCGCGGUGGCUCAAGCCUGUAAUCCCAGCACUUUGGGAGGCCGAGGCGGGUGGAUCACAAGGUCAACAGAUCGAGACCAUCCUGGUCAACAUGGUGAAACCCCGUCUCUACUAAAAAUUACAAAAAAUUAGCUGGGCAUGGUGGCGCGUGCCUGUAAUCCCAGCUACUCAGGAGGCUGAGGCAGGAGAAUUGCCUGAACCCAGGGGGCGGAGGUUGCGGUGAGCCGAGAUUGCGCCAUUGCACUCCAGCCUGGGUAACAAGAGCGAAACUCCGUCUCAAAAAAAAAAAAAAAAAAAAAAAAAAUCUCUGGAGCUUAUUUCAUAGAUGAGGACUUUUGAGAGAAACUGCAUCUUAUUUGGAAUUAACAUGGUAUUACUAUAUCCAAAGGAGCCCUCCUGGGUUUGAGGAUAAUCAUGACCUAUGCUGCAUUUGUGCAGCAGAAAGUAUCCGUGAGAUACAUGUUUCCACAUGCUGCAUUCAAGUCUCUCUAAGUAGGUAAAAGUAAACUGGAGAACUGAAAUAAUCAUGACAAUUUAGUCAAAAUACUCUACAUUUAUUCUAGGUUUAAGGACUAAGGGUGGGAAAGAUGGGUAUGUGUUUUUAGUAUGUUGCUUUACACUCUUCUAAAAUACUUGAGAUACUUGCAAUGUUUCUUUUCCACUGUUUUAUAAUAGUACUAGACAUAAUUGCAUUAUAUAAAUGCUCUGUUAUUUUAAAAUUAUCGGAGUCCAUUUCUGACUAAAAUAUUUCAUUAUUUCAUUUCUACUUCCUCGCCUCCAGCUUUUUAAUCAGGCUUUUAUUGUCAGAUUUCAUUUUCCUCUUCAGAAAUGGGUGGCAUGGGGAAUCUGAUCAGGAAGGGAAGGUGACCGGGCACAUGGGAGAUGAGAAGGCCAACUCUUUCUCGGUGUCACUUCUAGUGUGGACUCAUGGAGGUUAAUCAGGUGCUCAAUGCAAAGAAAGAAAGAAAUAGGAUCAGCUUCUAUGAACUCACACAGAGCAGGUUGUGAGUGGGCUUUUCCUCUGGGACAAAGGAAAAGCAGCAGAAAGUAUCAGUGAGACACAUGUUUCACGUACUGCAUUCAGGUCUCUCUAAGUAGGUAAAAGCAAACUGAAGAACUGAAAUAAUCACCUUGACAAUGUAGUCAAAA
rnacentral:lncRNA from 1 species